rnacentral:rRNA from 1 species
CCUACGGGUGGCAGCAGUGAGGAAUAUUGGUCAAUGGGCGCGAGCCUGAACCAGCCAAGUCGCGUGAGGGAGUACUGCCCUCUGGUUGGUAAACCUCUUUUGUCGGGGAGCAAAGGCCGGACGUGUCCGGCUGUGAGAGUACCCGAAGAAUAAGCAUCGGCUAACUCCGUGCCAGCAGCCGCGGUAAUACGGAGGAUGCGAGCGUUAUCCGGAUUUGUAGGGUUAAAGGGGUGCGCAGGCGGAUUUUUAAGUCAGCGGUCAAAUCGUGGGGCUAAACCCCAUCCAGCCGAUGCGACUGGAGAUCUAGAGUGUGCGAGAGGUAUGCGGAAUGCGUAGUGUAGCAGUGAAAUGCAUAGAUAUCACGCAGAACCCCGAUUGCGAAGGCAGCAUACCGGUGCACAACUGACGCUCAGGCACGAAAGCGUGGGUAUCGAACAGGAUUAGAUACCCCGGUAGUC